GAGGGUAUAGCUCAACGGUUAGAGUGCUUGCUUAGCAUGCACAAGGUCCUGGGUUCAAUCUCCAGUGCCUCCA
rnacentral:tRNA from 1 species